ensembl:lncRNA LINC02028 long intergenic non-protein coding RNA 2028
GAUACUCAGGGCACACAGCAUAUAGAGUAUUCUUGUUCCGCAAAAAACAGUACCUCUGCUGCUGCUGUACACUCUGCUGCUUCAGAGUCGCUGUUUAACACUGUGGGUUCACCCUUGAAUUCUUCCUGGAUGAAGCCAAGAACCCUCCUGGGCUAAGCCUCAAUUUUGGGGCUUGCCUGUCCUGCGUCAGCAUGAGUACGGACUUUGGGGUUACAAAUAGGUGCAUUUGCAAAUAUGGAAUCCACGAAUGAUGAAGAUAGACUAUCACUGGGUACCACCGGAAUUCUCUGACCUGAUAACUUCAUAUGCAAAUCCUGGCUGGUCCUUGGAACAGGAGAAAGGGUUGGAAAACAAAGAUCACUUUUCUCUGGCCAAAUGGAAUCACCCAACAAAGUACCUUCCUGAUGGGCCAGCUAUUUCAGAUGAUGAAGGUUUAAGAAGCAGCAUCAUCAGCGAACUGUGUUUUGAAGAUUUGAGGGAAGGGCUGACCUCAGGAUUUUAUACUAGGAAGGCCCUAUCUCAAGUGGCUCUGGUCCAUGCAAACAGAUGGAAACGGGUGUGGGGAAGCACAGGCCUCCUACUCAUGUUAAGAGAGCUGCUCAGAGGCAGGAAUCCAGAACCAGGAAUGUCCCCAGUGGCUGCCCAAGUUGCUGACCUCCAUAACAGCAGACAAAAUUGGAAGCAAGAGUGAUUUUGGAGGAGUCACACUUAGAUGUUUCCCUUACCUAUUUCUGUUCUGGAAAUUUAAAAAUCUUACUUCUCGUGACAGUCCUACAUGAAAAAUUAAAAAUCACAAGGAUUCAUGGAUGGAAAACUGAGACUCAGAGAAUGAUCACAUUCACAUCGUAAUAAAUCAGCAAUAGAGUGAGUGAUUGUUCCUUGGUAAGAAAUCAACUCUAAACUCAGUUGGAAACCUUUGCCAAUAUUACUUAACACAUGACAA